rnacentral:rRNA from 1 species
UACGUAGGGUGCGAGCGUUAAUCGGAAUUACUGGGCGUAAAGCGUGCGCAGGCGGUUGUGUACGACAGGUGUGAAAUCCCCGGGCUUAACCUGGGAAUGGCAUUUGUGACUGCACGGCUAGAGUGUGUCAGAGGGGGGUAGAAUUCCACGUGUAGCAGUGAAAUGCGUAGAUAUGUGGAGGAAUACCGAUGGCGAAGGCAGCCCCCUGGGAUAACACUGACGCUCAUGCACGAAAGCGUGGGGAGCAAACAGG